AACGCACAUUGCACUUUUUGGUAUUCCAAAGAGUAUGUCUGUCUGAGUAUCAUUUCUCUACCCUUUAAAAAAAGGAGUUGUACUUUUUUGCUAGCUACUUUAGUAAAUAGUAUUAAAUACAUUAUUAUGAAUAUCUUGUAAAAUAAUAAUAAAAAACAUUGUAAUCAGAAAAUAUAAAACUUUUUUGAGAUGCCAGUUUUUUUGUUUGUUUUGGUCAAGAAACAUUACUAAAUAAAUAACUAAAUAAUUAAAUCUUUGAUCUCAUAUCAGACAAGAGUACCCGCUGAACUUAA
rnacentral:misc_RNA from 1 species